UUUUAUAUAGUUUCAGAGCGAUUACAUGUUUUGUUAACGUCCAUGGGCUGUUUGGAUAUUUUUCCAAACCUUUUGAAAUCUUCCUUUUCUUUGCCCUCUAUUCUUUGGUCUGGCUCAGACGGCAUACUUUACCUCGUAUGUUUUCUCUCUCUUUCUUUUUUGGAAGUUGCUCCGGUCCAAAUGUGUGACGUAAGUGGAGUUACAGCCCGUGUUUCAGAUCGGUGGUUUAAGAACUUGCGGACUAGUGGAGAAGAGGAUGUUUUCUUGAUCUGUCAAUGGGACUACCGGGUUGAAGUUGAACUGCUGGUAUUUAGGCUUGAUGCUGUGUUUUUUGUCCUCAUAGGGUUGCAGGAGGGACUGAGAGAAAAGAGAGAGAGAGCGAGAGAGAGAGGGAGGGAGAGCGGGGUGUAUGUGUGUGUUUGGAAGAGAGAACCAGACUUACAGAAACAGAGACAGUAUACUGUACUGUGUGCGAGAGAGAGAGAAGAAGGAGAGAGUAACUGUAAUCUGAAUCUAUUGCACAUGGACAGAGAGACUAACUAGAACACAUAGGGAGUCUUCCUGACGAGGAGGGAGGACCAGUGACUCCAGAGGCACCAAGGACCAGAGAGCGAGAUCACCAAACACUAAGCUAGGACAGGAUGAGGUACCGAGGCAGGGAUUUGGGAGGUGAGGGCAGAGUUCAUCUAGUUAUGGAGAGUACUCUGACAGCACGUGACAGGGUGGGGGUGCAGGACUUCGUCCUGCUGGAGAACUACACCAGCGAGGCGGCCUUCAUCGAAAACCUGCGCCGACGUUUUGGGGAGAACCUCAUCUAUACCUACAUAGGGUCAGUGUUGGUGUCAGUGAACCCCAACAAGGACCUGGAGAUCUACUCCAAGGCGCACAUGGAGCGCUACCGAGGGGUCAGCUUCUACGAGAUAUCACCCCACAUCUAUGCGGUGUCAGACAACACGUACCGGGCCAUGCGGACUGAGAGGAGGGACCAGUGUAUCCUGAUCUCUGGGGAGAGCGGAGCAGGGAAGACUGAGGCCUCCAAGAAGAUCCUCCAGUACUACGCCACUACCUGCCCUGUCACUGACCACUUGAGUACGCUCCGGGACCGCCUACUGCAGUCCAACCCUGUUCUGGAGGCUUUUGGUAAUGCCAAAACACUGCGUAAUGACAAUUCCAGCCGGUUUGGCAAAUACAUGGAUGUCCAGUUUGACUUCAGGGGGGCGCCGAUAGGAGGCCACAUCCUCAACUACCUGCUGGAGAAGUCCCGUGUUGUGCACCAGAACCACGGCGAGAGGAACUUCCAUAUUUUCUACCAGCUGCUCGAGGGAGGAGAACAAGACCUUCUCAGCAAGCUGGGAUUGGAGAGAAACGCCCAGAAAUACCAAUACCUGGUCAAGGGUUGCUGUCCUAGGGUGAGCUCCAUCAAUGAUAAGAAUGACUGGAGAACAGUGAGGAAGGCCCUGACAGUCAUCGGCUUCCAUGAGGAUGAGGUGGAGGAUCUGUUGAAUAUAAUCGCCAGUGUCCUCCAUCUUGGGAACACUCAGUUUGGAGAAGGAAAGAAUGGGGAAAACCAGAUCACCACUGAGACUCAGCUCAAAUACCUGUCCAAGCUGUUAGGUGUGGAUGGAGCAGCACUGAGAGAGGCUCUCACUCAUAAGAAAAUCACUGCCAAAGGGGAGGAGAUGAUAAGCCCGUUGAGUUUUGAGCAGGCUGUGGCAGCCCGUGAUGCCUUGGCCAAAGCGGUGUAUGGCCGUGCCUUCACCUGGCUGGUGGUGAAGAUCAACCAGUCUCUGGCAUUCAAGGAUGAUGUGUACAACAGCAGUAAGGGCUCAUCAUCAGUUAUAGGACUGCUGGAUAUCUAUGGCUUUGAGGUCUUCCAGCACAAUAGUUUUGAGCAGUUCUGCAUCAACUAUUGCAAUGAGAAGCUGCAUCAGCUGUUCAUUGAGCUCACCCUCAAGUCUGAGCAGGAGGAGUACGAGGCAGAGGGCAUCACUUGGGAACCGGUGAAGUACUUCGACAACAAGAUAAUCUGUGACCUGGUAGAGGGAAAGCACAAAGGCUUGAUCUCCAUCCUGGAUGAGGAGUGUUUGAGACCAGGGGAGCCCAGUGAUAUCUCCUUCCUCGAGAAGCUUGAGGACACUUUGGGAGGCCAUGCCCAUUUUGUCACUCACAAGUUGUCGAAUGGGAAGACUCGCAAGGCAGUGAGCAGAGAGGAGUUCAAACUGAUUCAUUACGCAGGAGAGGUCAACUACAGUGUCAAUGGGUUUCUGGACAAGAACAAGGACCUUCUCUACAGAAACCUGAAAGAGGUCAUAUGCCAGUCAAAUAGCCAGGUUCUGAGUCAGUGCUUCCACAGAGAGGAAGUGACUGACCAAAAACGCCCAGAAACGGCUGCCACACAGUUUAAGAACAGCCUGGCCAAACUUAUAGAGAUACUGAUGUCCAAGGAGCCAUCCUAUGUGCGCUGUAUCAAACCCAACGAUGCCAAGCAGUCAGGGAGGUUUGAUGAGGCUCUAGUCAGACACCAGGUCAAGUAUCUGGGUCUGAUGGAGAACCUGAGGGUCAGGAGAGCUGGGUUUGCCUACCGCCGACACUACGAAACCUUCCUACAGAGGUACAAGUCUCUGUGUCCCGGGACAUGGCCUAACUGGCAGGGCAGACUGGCUGAUGGAGUAGCCACUCUGGUCCAACACCUGGGCUACAAACCAGAGGAAUACAAACUGGGCAAGACCAAGAUCUUCAUCCGCUUCCCUAAGACUCUGUUCAGCACUGAAGAUUCCCUGGAAGCCAGGAGGCCUGCCCUCGUUCUCACCCUACAGACCUCAUGGAGGGGUUACAGAGAGAGGGCCAAGUACCUCCGCAUCAGACAGGCAGUCAUAGUGAUCCAAUCUGCGUGGAGAGGGAUGAUAUCCCGUCAGAAGGCCAGGCGUCGCAGACAUGCUGUGGACAUCAUACGCAAGUUCAUCAAAGGCUUCAUCUACCGCCACUAUGAGCGUUGUCCAGAAAACGAGUACUUCCUGGACCAUCAGCGUUUCUCCUUCCUGAUGAUGCUGUUUAGGAACCCACCUAAGAGUGUCCUGGACAAAAGCUGGCCCAUCCCCCCACCUUGCCUCACUGAGGCGUCAGAGCACCUGUGCAGGCUGUGUAUGCGGAACAUGAUGCGGGCCUACUGCAGGAGGAUCCAGCCAGAGUGGAAGAAACAGGCAUCUCUUCUGUCCUCUUUCUAUAGAUGGAGCAGAAGGUGGUAGCCAGUCAGAUAUUCAAGGACCAGAAGGACAGCUAUCCCCAGAGUGUCCCUAAGCUGUUUGUGGCCUCCAGACUAAACAGUGAGGAGUUCAACCUCAAAGUGAUACAGACUCUGGGCAAUGACAAAGUGAAGUAUGGAAUUGCGGUGACUAAGUAUGAUAGGAGGGGUUACAAAGCACGGCCUCGCCAGCUGCUCCUCACCUCCUCCUUCGCCAUGCUGGUGGCCGAAGCCAAGCUGAAGCAGAGGAUCGACUAUGCAACCCUGAGGAGCAUCUCUGUGAGUUCUCUCAGUGAUGGGUUCAUGGUUCUCCACGUGCCCAGUGAGGACAACAAGCAAAAGAGUGAUGUGGUGCUCCAGUGUGAUCAUUUGAUCGAGGUGGUGACCAAGCUGGCCACUAUGGCGGACAAGAAGAUCAAGGUCAACAUGAGCCCGGACAGUAUUACGUUUGCAGUGGCUCGGGGGAAAGAGGGAGUCAUUGACUUCACCAGUGGACCAGAGCUGAAGGUGGCCAAAUGCAAGAAAGGACACCUGCUAGUGACGGCUCCUAAACUCAACCCAUGAUGAUGAUGGGAAGUAAUAACAACCUCGCUGUAAUCCACAGCGAACCAAUCAUUCCAUAGGAUGAUUUCCUGCCAUAGCCAAUCAGAUUAUAGCCACACAGAAGUUGUUUUUCUUCUUUAAAUGUGAGACCAUAGCCAUACACUCACUGCAAAAAAUAUUAUGAUUAUUUACUUUUAACACAAUUGCACUUAUUAAUCUGCAUUUAUAUAGUUAUUGAUUUAGUUAUUGACGACAUUUCAUAUAUAAUGGAAUCAGAGGUUUUGCCGGCAUUCAUAAUACUUUGAUGUUUAUUAGCAAUAGUCGUAUUAAAUGAAAACCACACAUUUUAAAUCUUAUGCUUCAUCUUUAUUUUGUAGUCCUGUUUACAAUAUAUUAGCUCUUGUAUGUAAUGCAAAUACAAAACAAUAUUUAUAUUUCCAUAGUAACAACAAUAAACAGCAUUUUCAAAUAAAUAAGUAAUAAAUAAGUCAAUAAAUAGGCAAAUAGGCAUUGAAGUCAGUGAGGGCUGUGGAAAAAGGGGAUGUUGUGUUUCUCAGCACUCUUCUGGUUCUCGGCUGUUAGUCAGAGAGAGUGAGAGACAGAAAAGAUGGAAACUCAGGGAGAAACCCAGAGGAGAGUAAGGCUGUACAACUUACAGUAAUACUACAUGUAAACCUGAUUUCUGUCUAACAAAGUGAACAGAGCAUCUCACACACGAUGAGAAAUCAUGAUCUUAGGAUAAAUACCAGAAAUCUCCAUUGAAGUCUUUCUGUCAAAAGCAAUACUGAAUUAUUUAUAAAUAUGAAUAAUAUGAAUAUCAUUAUUAUUGGUAUUAGCUGUAUUAACUUUUUACUGCUGAAAUAAACUGUGUGCAUUGACAACAUAAAA